rnacentral:lncRNA from 1 species
CGCCAGCUCCAUCCAGAAUAUCGAAAACUUCCCUAUCAAAAAAACCCGGCAACUUUCUCUCUCUUCUCAAAUCAUUCCUCAUGACCCAAAACGACUCCGUUUCUUCGCGUAUGUGGUUUUCCCAUUCUUUUAUCUUCUUAUAAUCACCUGCUAAAUUGCUCCAUCUCUUCCUACACUGAACAGGUCCUCUGUUCACUCCAUGUCUUUUACAGUAGGAUGAAACCGAUGCCCAUUUCGGUUCUACCUGACCCGACCCGAAGGCCAUACCCGCCGUCCGUCCUCUUCUAACCCGAUUCUCAGCCACUUUUUUGCCUUGGAUGAGUACGAGAAUUUCUUGUCUAGUCCAGCGAGGGAGUCUGGGGGUUUUGCUGCCGUCAUCUGCGCCGUCGAUAGAGGCAGGCCGGGUGUUGUCAACGCCGUUAGUGGUAUCGCCGUCAACGGUAUUCGAGGUUAAGUUAAAUUGCUGCUGUAAAGCCAUAAUUAAAAGAAAAUGAAAAUGGAUUAAUUUUGAAAAACAAAAAAAAAAAAAACAAAAAAAAGGGCACGUGACUGAAGAAAACGGUUUUAAGGGAAGUAACGGCGUUUAGAGGGAAAGCCCCGUUACGCCGUUUAUGAGAGAGGGCUAUAACAUAUCCUUUCCCGUAAGAUUAGAAUUUAGAGGUGUUAUUAGAUAAGAGAAAAAAAAGAGGGAAUUUGAGAUUAUAGAGAAAGGGCAAAGAGAAAGAGAAAGAGAAAGAGAAAGAGGAGGAGGAGGAGGAGAGGAAGUGGAUUUUUACUGCUUUUACUUUAUACUAUUGCUAUUUGAAUUUGACUAAACCCCCUUUAAUCAAUAAUUAAUUAGGGUCAUAUCUUCAAAUAUUUUAUUUAUAAUUUAAUUAAUUUGAUUGAUUGGGAUUUUGAUUUGGUUCUUGGAUGAGCUAAUAAGGUAGGGUUGUUUCCUUGUUUUGGAGUCAUUAAAAUCAUUGAAAGGGCAUCCUUUUCUUUCAAUUUUAUUAUAAGUUUAAUUAUGGUUAUGGAAUUAACUAUCUUUUUUUUUAUUUAUUUAUUUACCAAAUAAAGUGUGAAUCUAUUUGGGAUUAUUAUUGAAUAUUAUAAAUUAUUUUAUGGGAGUGUUGGAAUAGCUAUUCAGAAAAAAGAAAAAGUUUUUUAUUUUUAUUUUAUAUUUUUAUUAAAUAAAGAAAAAAGAAGAAAUAGUUGUUCAAAAAUCUUAAAAGCACUUCUAGAAAUGUGAUUCCAGACAAAGGCUUAUUAGUACUCUAUAUAGGAAUAUGUUUAUUUCUUCUUCUCUUAGCAUUAAGCAUGUAUCCUUUUCCAUCGUCUUUUUAAAAUAUUUGAUCAAUUAUUUUGUAUUUUAUCUAAUGAGGAACAACGUAUUUAUGGAUUGAUAAUCUUUUCAUUAAAGGUGGAGACAGAGGACUGAAAUUCGUGAUAAGGGCAGCCUACCCUACCACCACUAACGAGGUUUUGUCCACCUUUGUCUCUUUUUUCUUCACCAUUACUCU